rnacentral:rRNA from 1 species
UACAGAGGUCCCAAGCGUUGUUCGGAUUCACUGGGCGUAAAGGGUGCGUAGGCGGCGGGGUAAGUUCGAUGUGAAAGCUCGCAGCUCAACUGCGAAAUGGCAUUGAAAACUACUCUGCUCGAGGCUUGGAGGGGGGACUGGAAUGCUCGGUGUAGCAGUGAAAUGCGUAGAGAUCGAGCGGAACACCAGUGGCGAAGGCGAGUCCCUGGACAAGUCCUGACGCUGAGGCACGAAAGCCAGGGGAGCAAACAGG